rnacentral:rRNA from 1 species
AACCGGGGCUAAUACCGGAUGCUUGAUUGAACCGCAUGGUUCAAUUAUAAAAGGUGGCUUUUAGCUACCACUUACAGAUGGACCCGCGGCGCAUUAGCUAGUUGGUGAGGUAACGGCUCACCAAGGCAACGAUGCGUAGCCGACCUGAGAGGGUGAUCGGCCACACUGGGACUGAGACACGGCCCAGACUCCUACGGGAGGCAGCAGUAGGGAAUCUUCCGCAAUGGACGAAAGUCUGACGGAGCAACGCCGCGU